GUGCUUGCUUCAGCAGCACAUACUAAAAUUGGAACAAUACAAAGAAGAUUAGCAUGGCCCCUGUGCAAGGACGACACACAAAUUUGUGAAGUGUUCCAUAUUUUU
rnacentral:snRNA from 1 species